ensembl:lncRNA
AAUUGCUCAUUCAGUCACCCAAUCAAACCUAGAACUUGGAUAUCAUCCACAUGACUAUUCCUCACCCGCUAUUACCUGCCAAACUGUCUGAUCUACUCAGUCAUUAAGUUAACUUAUGUUGAUUUGGUUUCCUUAUUACUUUUCCUCUUUUACCCAUUUCUUCUGGUACUGCUGCUUCGUUCAGUUCCUAGUUCGCUCUUUCCCAAACUACUGUGGUAAUCUCCCUUCUGAUUUCAAUGGCAUCUCAUCUCACGUUGAAUGACCUACAAGGUCCUCCGUGAGUCUAAUGUCUCUGCUACCUAAAUUUUCUCAUCCUAAAUUUCAGCGAUGUUGAACUAUUCGCAGGUCUCCACUUCAUGUGAUUUUAUAUCCCAUGCCUUUGAAUAUUCUUCUUUUCUUGGAGUGUCACUCCCACAUAAUUGUAUCUGUCAAACUCAUAUUCCUAUUUUAAGACCCAGCUCAAGCAUCAUUUUCUAGAAAGACUUGCUGGAAGCCCAAAUUGUUGAUCAUUCUCUUCACUGGGUCCCCUCUUUAAUUUGUACAUACUGCAUUAUUAUACUUGGUAGCUGUAUUGCCAUUGUUUGCUUGCAGUCCUGUAUCUCCUCUACAAAUGUAAAUGGCCAAAGGCAGGAACUAUGGCUUUUCAUUUUUUUGUCUUCGGCAUCUAUCACGUUAUCUGGCACACAGCAGAUUCUCAGGCCAGAGGAUCUACCACCACAGAACCAUUCUAGAUGUCAAUUCCUGGUAAGAAAUGAUUGGGAGUUAACAGAAGAACCACAGAGAGGUAGAGUUUGCUAUGUUUAUAUUUGCAUUGAAGUUAUUUUAAAAUAUUAGUUUAUCCUCCUGCACAUACUAUUUUUAUUUUAUAGCAUACAUGGAAUCUAUAUGUUUGAUUCUAUAGCGUAAAUUCCUUUCUUCUCAAUCAGCCUUUUUGGCCGCUUUGUUAAAGAUCACAGUGUAGCCACAUGAAGGAAAACCACUCGAAUCUGGGUUAGUCCUAUCCAUGGUGACAGUUAUUACCUGACUGCCAGUGCUGGGAUUGGAUAGAUCAGGUAUAUAUAGCAGCCUGUCUUACAGAAUGGUGUCUGAACAGGACCAUUUCUGGUUCAAUGUAGCCUUCCUUGGUUUUAACCUGUAUCACAUGGGCUUGUCUAAAAGGAACAAUAUCCCUUAAUACUGAAAAUUUUCUAACACAGCAAUUGUCAAAUUAUCAUCGACAUACCCCUGGGGGUCCUGAUUAUCUUUAAAGGGUGUCUGCAAAGUCAGCAUGAUUUACCUAGUAAUCCUGACACGAAUUUGAGCUUUCAAAUGAAAUUAAAGUUUCAGAAAACUUUUAUCCACUACCUGAGAUUGAUAGCUUCUUAAUACUUAGAGAUUUUAUUAUGAAAUUGGGAAUGUUAACUAAUGCAAUUUAAAAAAUAUCAUAUGAUAAAAUGUGUCGAUAUUUGGAACAUCUGUAUAACUCAGUGAAUCAAUAUUGUCCAAAUAGCAAUGCAUGGGGUUACAAAAUUAUGCAUGGAUAAAAGCUCUAUUCAAAGUUCAAGACAGACCAAUGGAUUUUAAGUUAAGAGAGCACAAAAAGUUUAUUGGUCUAGUUUCAUAGUCCACAUCUUUUAAAAAAACAACUUGUUGAAUCUUGGUGUAUCACAGAAGAGUAUCCACAACUACGUUCCUUCCUUUUUCAAACAUAUCUAUGUGUAGCUCCCUUUUCUUCAUGUACUUCAACCAAAAUAUCAUUUUGCAGCAGGUUGAAUGCUGAAAAAUAUAGCAGGAUCCAGCGUUCUUCUGUUAAGCCAGACACUGAAGAGAUUUGCAGAAAUAUAAAACAAUGCAAUUCUUCUCAUUAACAUUUUUUGGAAAUGUAAUUAUUUUUUAUAAAAGUAUGUUAUUUAUGUCAAUAU